rnacentral:rRNA from 1 species
UCGUAACAAGGUUUCCGUAGGUGAACCUGCGGAAGGAUCAUUACAGUAUUCUUUUGCCAGCGCUUAACUGCGCGGCGAAAAACCUUACACACAGUGUCUUUUUGAUACAGAACUCUUGCUUUGGUUUGGCCUAGAGAUAGGUUGGGCCAGAGGUUUAACAAAACACAAUUUAAUUAUUUUUACAGUUAGUCAAAUUUUGAAUUAAUCUUCAAAACUUUCAACAACGGAUCUCUUGGUUCUCGCAUCGAUGAAGAACGCAGCGAAAUGCGAUAAGUAAUAUGAAUUGCAGAUUUUCGUGAAUCAUCGAAUCUUUGAACGCACAUUGCGCCCUCUGGUAUUCCAGAGGGCAUGCCUGUUUGAGCGUCAUUUCUCUCUCAAACCCCCGGGUUUGGUAUUGAGUGAUACUCUUAGUCGGACUAGGCGUUUGCUUGAAAAGUAUUGGCAUGGGUAGUACUAGAUAGUGCUGUCGACCUCUCAAUGUAUUAGGUUUAUCCAACUCGUUGAAUGGUGUGGCGGGAUAUUUCUGGUAUUGUUGGCCCGGCCUUACAACAACCAAACAAGUUUGACCUCAAAUCAGGUAGGAAUACCCGCUGAACUUAAGCAUAUCA